rnacentral:ncRNA from 1 species
AUAGAGAUGUCCGAAAAUCUAAAGAGUAGGAA